GGGGGCCGCCUUCGCCACCGGUAUUCCUCCAGAUCUCUACGCAUUUCACCGCUACACCUGGAAUUCUACCCCCCUCUACAAGACUCUAGCCUGCCAGUUUCGAAUGCAGUUCCCAGGUUGAGCCCGGGGAUUUCACAUCCGACUUGACAGACCGCCUGCGUGCGCUUUACGCCCAGUAAUUCCGAUUAACGCUUGCACCCUCCGUAUUACCGCGGCUGCUGGCACGGAGUUAGCCGGUGCUUCUUCUGCGGGUAACGUCAAUCGACAAGGUUAUUAACCUUAUCGCCUUCCUCCCCGCUGAAAGUACUUUACAACCCGAAGGCCUUCUUCAUACACGCGGCAUGGCUGCAUCAGGCUUGCGCCCAUUGUGCAAUAUUCCCCACUGCUGCCUCCCGUAGGAGUCUGGACCGUGUCUCAGUUCCAGUGUGGCUGGUCAUCCUCUCAGACCAGCUAGGGAUCGUCGCCUAGGUGAGCCGUUACCCCACCUACUAGCUAAUCCCAUCUGGGCACAUCUGAUGGCAAGAGGCCCGAAGGUCCCCCUCUUUGGUCUUGCGACGUUAUGCGGUAUUAGCUACCGUUUCCAGUAGUUAUCCCCCUCCAUCAGGCAGUUUCCCAGACAUUACUCACCCGUCCGCCGCUCGUCACCCANGAANAAGCUUCCUGUGUUANCGCUCUAC
rnacentral:rRNA from 1 species